rnacentral:rRNA from 1 species
CAGCAGCCGCGGGAAUACAGAGGGUGCAAGCGUUAAUCGGAUUUACUGGGCGUAAAGGGCGCGUAGGUGGUUAUUUAGGUGAGAUGUGAAAGCCCCGGGCUUAACCUGGGAACUGCAUCUUAUACUGGGUAACUGGAGUGCAGUAGAGGGUAGUGGAAUUUCCGGUGUAGCGGUGAAAUGCGUAGAUAUCGGAAGGAACACCAGUGGCGAAGGCGGCUACCUGGACUGAGACUGACACUGAGGCGCGAGAGCGUGGGGAGCAAACAGGAUUAGAUACCCACGUAGUCCCUGUCUCUUAUAC